CAUAACGCGGUAGAGUGCGAGACCAAGAGUCCAUCUUAUUGUGCAAGAGGUCUGUUCAGUAGUCUUAUGACAGCGGGAUAGAAACUGUCCUUGAUCCUGGUGGAACGGUGGACCUUGAGAUGGAGCGAGGAGCAGAGAGAUUUGUUUGGGCGUUCGGUUGGAAAGGGAACGAAGUUUAAUGAGACUGGGGUCUCAGGACGUAACAGUGACUCAGCCACCAACUGACGCCUCGUGGCCUUUGAGGUUUACCCACCUCGACUGCCUUGCUGCUGCGGAUCUUGCUCUCCAGCUCAGUGAAGGACUUUGACGCAAACGGUGGUCGUCCGAACAACGCUUCUGUAACAAAACCAGAGUCAGCAGCAGCCCCGGGACAAGCUCCACAACACAACGAUCCGACCUCCCCACUGGAGUUUAAUUCAGAUAAGUGCGAGGUGUUGCAUUUUGGCAAGACCAAUUUGGCAUGCUUACAGUCAUCCCAAGGGACAUUGAGUACAGGAGCUGGGACAUCAUGGUACAACUGCACAGGACACUGCCCCAUUAACCUGUGAGUUGCCCCUGGUGUGUAGGUGAGUGCAGAAUCUGGCAGGAGUGGAGGGGAGUCUGGGGAAGACUAUGAACUCUUCUACAAUAAGAUGGACUCUUGACCUCACAAUCUACCUCGUCAUGGCCCUUGCACCUUAUUGUCUGCCUGCACUGCACUUUCUCUGUAACUGUGACACUUUAUUCUGCAUUCUGUCAUUGUUUUCCCCUUGUACUACCUUGACGGACUGAUGUGGUGAAGUGAUGUGUCUGGAUGGCAUGCAAAGCAAAGGUUUUCACUGGAUCUUGGUACAUGUGACCAUAAUAAACCAAUUUGCCAAAAUGAAAUGGGAUCAGUGUAAAUGGGUGGUUGAUGGUUGGCACGGACUUGAGGGGCUGAAGGGCCUCUGUGCUGUAUGACCCCUGGCCCCCCCGGCCCCCACUCCU